AAUGGCGGGCAAUGGUUAACUAUUGGGACACUGAUCCAAAAAAUAAAGUUAGAUGUGAGAAGAAUAUUGAAAGCCGCAAGAGGCAAAAAAUGAAUCACACUGGUGGCACAAAGAGCUUCGCACGACACAUGGCUGAUUAUGAGAAAAAACAUGGUCGCAAACCCGAUCCUAUUGAGAU